rnacentral:rRNA from 1 species
UACGAAGGGGACUAGCGUUGUUCGGAAUCACUGGGCGUAAAGCGCACGUAGGCGGAUAUGUCAGUCAGGGGUGAAAUCCCGGGGCUCAACCUCGGAACUGCCUUUGAUACUGGCGAUCUUGAGUCCGGGAGAGGUGAGUGGAACUCCGAGUGUAGAGGUGAAAUUCGUAGAUAUUCGGAAGAACACCAGUGGCGAAGGCGGCUCACUGGCCCGGUACUGACACUGAGAUGCGAAAGCGUGGGGAGCAAACAGG